UUUAACUGAGCGUUCAGUUACUUGACGUAGACCCGAAACCGGGCGACCUACCCAUGAGCAGGAUGAAGCGAAAGUAAAAUUUCGUGGAGGUCCGAACCCACGAGCGUUGAAAAGCUCGGGGAUGACUUGUGGGUAGCGGUGAAAUUCCAAUCGAGCCCGGAGAUAGCUGGUUCUCCCCGAAAUAGCUUUAGGGCUAGCCUCAAGGUGAGAGAUACGGAGGUAGAGCACUGAAUGUCCUAGGGGGUAUUGCACCUACCGAAGACUAUCAAACUCCGAAUGCCGUCAUCUUAUACUUGGGAGUCAGACUGUGGGUGAUAAGAUUCAUAGUCGAAAGGGCAACAGCCCAGAUCGUCAGCUAAGGUCCCUAAAUGUAAGUUAAGUGGUAAAGGAUGUGGGAUUGCACAGACAACCAGGAUGUUGGCUUAGAAGCAGCCACUCAUUCAAAGAGUGCGUAAUAGCUCACUGGUCGAGUGAUCCUGCGCCGAAGAUUUCCGGGGCUAAAACUUACUACCGAAGCUACGGCAUCAGUAAUGAUGGGUAGGGGAGCUUCCCAUACGGGUUGAAGCAUGACCGUAAGGACAUGUGGACAGUAUGGGAGUGAGAAUGUUGGCAUGAGUAGCGAGAUGUGGGUGAGAAUCCCACAGGCCGUAAACCCAAGG
rnacentral:rRNA from 1 species